UUGAACGCUGGCGGCAGGCCUAACACAUGCAAGUCGAGCUGUUGUAACACAGAGGAGCUUGCUCCUUGGGUGACGAGCGGCGGACGGGUGAGUAAUGCCUGGGAUCUGCCCGAUAGAGGGGGAUAACUACGGGAAACUGUAGCUAAUACCGCAUAAUGUCUACGGACCAAAGUGGGGGCUCUUCGGACCUCAUGCUAUCGGAUGAACCCAGGUGGGAUUAGCUAGUUGGUGAGGUAAUGGCUCACCAAGGCGACGAUCUCUAACUGGUUUGAGAGAAUGACCAGUCACACUGGAACUGAGACACGGUCCAGACUCCUACGGGAGGCAGCAGUGGGGAAUAUUGCACAAUGGGCGCAAGCCUGAUGCAGCCAUGCCGCGUGUGUGAAGAAGGCCUUCGGGUUGUAAAGCACUUUCAGCGGGGAGGAAGGGUCACUAGUUAAUACCUAGUGGCAUUGACGUUACUCGCAGAAGAAGCACCGGCUAACUCCGUGCCAGCAGCCGCGGUAAUACGGAGGGUGCAAGCGUUAAUCGGAAUUACUGGGCGUAAAGCGCACGCAGGCGGUUUGUUAAGUCAGAUGUGAAAUCCCCGAGCUCAACUUGGGAACUGCAUUUGAAACUGGCAAGCUAGAGUCUUGUAGAGGGGGGUAGAAUUCC
rnacentral:rRNA from 1 species